GGCGGAGUGUUUUCACACAAUUUCGAGUUUUCCCAACUUCCAUGAGUGUUGAUAUAACGAUAUAUCAAUACGGAAAAAGUUUUAUAUUUGUUUUAUAAUAUAGCAAUGUCAAAAGCCCGAAGAAUAAGAAAAAUUUCCGUGUUUACAAGCGGCGGAAAAUUUCCCGUGUUGACAUGGAGUUAUAUCAACACGGCUCUUAGCCAAUCAGCGUUCAGAAUUUACAAAUGCUAUAUUAUAAAUAUAUAUAUUAUAUAUAUAUAU